GCUGGGUGUGGUGGCAUUCACCUGUAAUCCCAACAGCCUGGGAGGCUGGGGCAGGAGGAUUGCAAUUUCAAAGGCAGCCUCAGCAACUUAGUAAGGCUCUAUGUGACUUGGUGAGACCCUGUCUCAA
rnacentral:sRNA from 1 species